rnacentral:rRNA from 1 species
AUUGAACGCUGGCGGCAGGCCUAACACAUGCAAGUCGAGCGGUAGAGAGGUGCUUGCAUCUCUUGAGAGCGGCGGACGGGUGAGUAAUGCCUAGGAAUCUGCCUAGUGGUGGGGGAUAACGUUCGGAACGGACGCUAAUACCGCAUACGUCCUACGGGAGAAAGCGGGGGAGUCUUCGGACCUCGCGCCAUUAGAUGAGCCUAGGUCGGAUUAGCUAGUUGGUGAGGUAAUGGCUCACCAAGGCGACGAUCCGUAACUGGUCUGAGAGGAUGAUCAGUCACACUGGAACUGAGACACGGUCCAGACUCCUACGGGAGGCAGCAGUGGGGGAAUAUUGGACCAAAUGGGCGGAAAGACCUGAUCCAGCCAUGCCGCGUGUGUGAAGAAGGUCUUCGGAUUGUAAAGACACUUUAAGUUUGGGGAGGGAAGGGGAC